rnacentral:rRNA from 1 species
AUUGAACGCUGGCGGCAUGCCUUACACAUGCAAGUCGAACGGUAGGGGAGCAAUCCCCUGAGAGUGGCGAACGGGUGAGUAAUACAUCGGAACGUACCUGGUAGUGGGGGAUAGCCCGGCGAAAGCCGGAUUAAUACCGCAUAAGACCUGAGGGUGAAAGCGGGGGACGUCGCAAGGGCCUCGCGCUACCGGAGCGGCCGAUGUCAGAUUAGCUAGUUGGUGGGGUAAAAGCCUACCAAGGCGACGAUCUGUAGCUGGUCUGAGAGGACGACCAGCCACACUGGGACUGAGACACGGCCCAGACUCCUACGGGAGGCAGCAGUGGGGAAUUUUGGUACGAAUAGGCGGCGAAGACCUCGAUCCACGCCACUG